UAUGGUUGAUCCUGCCAGUAGUCAUAUGCUUGUCUUAAAGAUUAAGCCACGCAUGUUUAAGUUCAUACCUUUGAUUGGUGAAAUCGCGAAUGGCUCAUUAAAUCAGUUAUAAUUUCAUGGGAUGUGUUUUCUUAAUUGGAUAACUGUGGUAAUUCUAGAGCUAAUAUAUGCAUAUACGUUUAACUACGGUUGGAUGUGCUUUUAUUAGUGCAAACCAUGUCGUAAGACUAUAGGUGGUGACUCUGAAUAACUUUGCCGAGCAUUUUGGCCUUGUGUCGGUGAUAUUCCGUCAAAGUAUCUGCUCUAUCAACUGUCGAUGGUAUAUUAUAUGUUUACCAUGGUUGUAACGGGUAACGGGGAAUUAGGGUUCGAUUCCGGAGAGGGAGCCUGAGAAACGGCUACCACAUCCAAGAAAGGCAGCAGGCGCACAAAUUACCCAAUCCCGGCUCGGGGAGGUAGUGACAAAAAAUAACAAUGCGGGUCUUAAAUGAGGCUUCGUAAUUGGAAUGAGUACAUUCUAAAUCCUUCAACGAGGAACUAUUGGAGGGCAAGUCUGGUGCCAGCAGCCGCGGUAAUUCCAGCUCCAUUAGCGUAUAUUAAAAUUGUUGCGUCUAAAAAGCUCGUAGUUUGAAAACUUGCCUUGACUUGCAAUAGGUCCACAUGGGCCACCGUUUGUCGAGCGCAAAUAUAGAUGACUGUUUUUGCCGGCUGAAUUGUUUGGCUUAUAAGAGUUAUCAAAUAUCACUUUGAAUUAAUUAGAGUGCUUAAAACAAGUGUAUUACUUGAAUAUAAAUGCGGUUAUGCCAAGACGUCUUGCGCCUUGGCAUAAGACGUCAUUACUCUCUAGCUUUUAAACCAUGCCCGUCAGUAAACUCUUCGCAUACCCUAGUUUAAGCCGGCGGAGCCCCCAGCCAGGGCCGGAAACCCACGCCUUUCGGCCAGAGGGUGCUACUUGCAACUUACUAAAGUCAUUAACACCAAAGGCCACGCAGAAGACGAAGCGCGGCCGGGAAACCUUAAGUUCUCAGAUAGCACGCAUUACAGUAUGCCUCCCGGUUAGCCAACCACGCAGCUGGUCUGCCGAUGUUGUUCGGCUGAAACCCUCUAACCGGAGAGCCCUUAUGGGCAACACACGGUGUU
rnacentral:rRNA from 1 species